AUUUUUGUAGUAUACAGAAAGUACGCCUAGUUUCCACCUAGAGGGAUCAUUUGACAAAAAUA
rnacentral:tRNA from 1 species